AAACAAGAUUCGACCGUUGCGAAAGCCAACAAACCCUAAUUUUCUUCGCGCCUCUCCCGAGCGCCAUUAGAGGCGACGACGAUCCCCAAUCUCUCUCUCUCUUUCUUUCUCAUUCGAUCUAAUCGAUCGUCACGACGACGAAGAAGAAGAUGUUCUUGGAGUCGGAGGAGGAGGAGGAGGAGGAGGAGGAGAUUCCGCCAUUAAUGGCGGUGGAAGCAAUCGAAUACCCACGAGGAGGAGGAGGAGGCAGCGGCGGCGAGUUAUUGGUUCCUCCUCCCAAUUUUGCGAUGGUGGAUAAGGGCAUCUACAGGUCCGGGUUCCCCAAUCCGGCCAAUUUCGGCUUCUUGGAAACGCUAAAUCUUCGAUCCAUCGUGUACUUGUGCCCGGAGCCCUAUCCGGAGGAGAAUGCGGAGUUUCUGAGGUCUCAUGGGAUUCGGUUGCUCCAGUUUGGGAUCGAAGGGAACAAGGAGCCUUUUGCAUCCAUACCUAAGGCUGCCAUCAUUGGUGCCCUUAAGAUCUUACUUGAUCUAAGGAAUCAUCCCAUUCUAAUCCACUGCAACCGAGGGAAGCAUCGGACAGGGUGCCUCGUGGCCUGUCUCAGGAAGCUGCAGUCUUGGUGCCUGACUUCUGUUUUCGAGGAAUAUCGGCGAUUCGCCGCUGACAAAUCCCGGCUUUCGGAUAUGAGAUUCAUUGAGAUGUUUGAUGUAUCAUGCAUCAGCCAGUGUGUACUUGGUCUUAUAUAUAGGGGCACUUUGGCUUGCCCUCCUUCGUCUUCCAGUUGUUGUAGCAAGGGCACUCCUCCUUGUGCCCAUAUGUUCCCGACGGGACGCAGUGGCACUUCUGGCAGCACUCGUUGCAGAAGAACAAGCACGGCUUCUUGUGGGACGUCGCGGAGCAUCUGUACUCGCACUUCACCGGGCAUUCUAUUUUUUUAUUAUUUUUUUUUUUUUAAAGUGGUAAAAAGAAGAACCGAACAAAGGUACAUGUUUUAGUUUAUUGUAGUUCGAGUUUGCUUUAACACUAUAUUGGCUCACUUCUUUGUUAUCCCUUGCUUAUUUUAGGUGAAUUCAAGCACAUGAGGGAAGCAUCUGUCAAUGUUUUUUUUCCUGUGAUUAUUUUGGACACUGACAUAUUUUAAUCUUAUAUUAUGAUGAAGUUGAAGGUGGAAACACUUUUUUGUUUACCUUCUGGAGGAACUGAGCCUUCUCCGCCUGUCUGUAAUGUUCAGCAGGAAAAGGAGUUCAGAUUAGAGUAAACAUCAUGAGAAAUUUACAGUUGGUUAUUGAUGCGACCGACGAAAUAUUUCACUUAUAUGUGUUGCAAACUUACUGGUAGAUAAUGCGAGGCGUUUGCGCCGCCAAUGAUCUCCGCCUGCAAAGGAACACCAUGUGUUUAGAAAACAAGCGAAUUUCGAUUCGGCUUGCUGAUCUUGGGGCUUCUAUCUCUGUUCAUCUCUGGAACUACUCGUCUAAUUUGAGAAGCAGAGACUGCUUCUGACAAAUAAAUGUAAGCUCCUGAUUGAUGGA